rnacentral:rRNA from 1 species
UACGAAGGGUGCAAGCGUUACUCGGAAUUACUGGGCGUAAAGCGUGAGUAGGUGGUUUCUUAAGUCUGCUGUGAAAGCCCCGGGCUCAACCUGGGAAUUGCAGUGGAUACUGGGAAGCUAGAGUGCGGUAGAGGGUAGUGGAAUUCCCGGUGUAGCGGUGAAAUGCGUAGAGAUCGGGAGGAACACCAGUGGCGAAGGCGGCACUCUGGGACGGUACUGACGCUGAGACGCGAAAGCGUGGGGAGCGAACAGG